rnacentral:lncRNA from 1 species
GUCCCAGAGCGACAAGACCAAGAUUUAUGCUCCAAGCUUUCUGUCCCUGCUGACUGGAGGUGAGAGAGGAGAGCAACAAAAGCUCUAAUCUUUAUCUAGAAGAUUGUGUUUAUUUGUUUACUUCCUUAUGGUCUAUAUCCUCCCUCUGGCCUGUAACUCCAUAGAGGAAGAGUGGACUAUUGUGUGCUGUUUCCCACUGUGUCCCCAGCAAUAAAUCAGUGCCUCGCACAGGAAGUCCUAAUAUUUCCUUACCACCCUGCAAUGAAUUGUCUUGUGCACUUUCUGGAGCAUGUCACCCCAGGGUGGAGACCACUGGAUUAAGUCGCCAGUUCCUAAAAUUGUUGUGGGGCCGCGUGGUGAGAGUACCAGAUGUUCACAUCCACAGGAAUUUGGAUGGUCCUCGCUGAUCCAAUCCAGCGGGUGACGGAUUGCCGCCCGGUUUGAGCCACUGCUAGCACCUGAGGAUUCAACAGUGAUCCCCAUAAGCAUAGUCCCUGCCUUCAAGAAGCUUGUGAUUGGAUGGAGGAGAGAGACAAUAAACAGAUGAAGAAACUUGAGAUGUGGCUUUUCCAACAUCCAGAAGUGGUCCAUUUUGACUCCAAGUUCAAGUUCUUAGCUGCUACUGUGCUGUCCCCUUAGAAGAUAAAUCGUCUAGCUGCAUCUGAUUGCAUUAUCAUAUCAAAUCCUUUCUAUUGUGCAAAGAACCAAUUCUCCAAAUUGAGUGUCUUAAUACCACUCUCAGUCCACAAUCUAUAAAGCACACCUUUGAACUGUUGUAUACAUUUUCUUUACAAUGAACAAACAGAAAAAACAUUGAACUUUUCAUUCAACUGAUUGAAACAUUGACCUUCACAUGUUGCCUAACAUAACAAAUGAAGUUACACAAUCAUUUUAUAGCUCCAGUCCUAUCUCUGCUAUUAUAACCUCCAGCCUUUACAGGACUGUCCUGAUGUAAAACCCACAGGUCCUCUGGACCUCACACAGUUCUACAUUCACACAGCGCUCACCAUGUUUAUUAGGUACAUUCUCACCUGUCUCAGGGGUCCCAGGUGUCUUAGCUUCCCUGAAUGGAAAAAGACAUUCCUGCUUCAUUCUCUUUCUCUUUUUACAAAAACCACUACCCCCUCUGCCUACCUGCUCCUACGACCUCAUUCUUCUCAGGUUUGUGUGCUUCAAGAAGUGCAAAACUGGUGAACUGUGGUGAAAAUUCCACUGUUUUCCCAGAUCAGGUAGUGCCUACGACUUCACCGAGGGCUGAAGAAAAGGAUCAGCUUUAAAAGUCAGACCGUGUUCUCUUCUCUUCUCUGUUGUCUGCUUGGGCAUCCCCUGUUUUCUCACUAUCUGUAGACAGUGACUAGUCCUGAAAGUAAGGUUGUAGAAUGACCCACGCAAAGCUCUGCUUAGAAUAUCUGGAAUGGAAUCAGUUAUGUGUGAACUUCUGGUUUGCAAUCCAAUAACCCACUCUUCUUAAAUGUAUAUUUAUCCAAAACCACCCCUCCUCAGCACAGCAUUUACUGUAUCACUCAUGGGAUCACUCUCUCCCACUCACUGGGACUCAUUUGCCCAUCUGUAAAGUUAAAGGAGUAGAUUAAACCGUUUGUGACGUCACUUCCAGCUCUAAAGGUCUUUGAUUCUAAUCUAGGUUUCCAUUUUCCUACACUAGAGUUUCCUUCCUUCCAUCCAUUCAUCCACCCAUCCAUCCGCUUAUUCAUUCAUUCACAGAAAAAAAUGUAUAUAUGGAGUGCCUACUGUGUGCUAGAUAUUGUUCUAGGCAGAUUGAUUAAGUAAUAACUAGGACAGAUAACAUCUAUCCCCCAUGGGGGCAUAACCUUCUCUCUUACCUCUCCCCGCAAAUAAUUUGAAAGUGUAAAGAAAACCAGUGGUAGAGUUGUUCUAAC